UGGGGAAUAUUGCGCAAUGGCCGAAAGGCUGACGCAGCGACGCCGCGUGGGGGAUGAAGCAUUUCGGUGUGUAAACCCCUGUUGCUCGGGACGAACAAGCGAUUUCGAUCGCUCUGACGGUACCGGGUGCGGAAGCACCGGCUAACUCCGUGCCAGCAGCCGCGGUAAUACGGAGGGUGCGAGCGUUGUCCGGAAUCACUAGGCGUAAAGGGCGCGUAGGCGGUUUGCUAAGCGUGCGGUGAAAGCCUGGGGCUCAACCCCAGGUCUGCCGUGCGAACUGGUGAACUCGAGCACUGUAGAGGCAGGUGGAAUUCCGGGUGUAGCGGUGGAAUGCGUAGAGAUCCGGAAGAACACCGGUGGCGAAGGCGGCCUGCUGGGCAGUAGCUGACGCUGAGGCGCGACAGCGUGGGGAGCAAAC
rnacentral:rRNA from 1 species